rnacentral:tRNA from 1 species
UAUGGCAGAUAAGUGCACUGGAUUUAAAAUCCUUUCAUAAAGAACCAACUUUUAUUAAAA